rnacentral:rRNA from 1 species
CAGUCGCCACGGUAAUACGUAGGUGGCAAGCGUUGUCCGGAAUUAUUGGACGUAAAGGGCUCGCAGGCGGUUUCUUAAGUCUGAUGUGAAAGCCCCCGGCUCAACCGGGGAGGGUCAUUGGAAACUGGGAAACUUGAGUGCAGAAGAGGAGAGUGGAAUUCCACGUGUAGCGGUGAAAUGCGUAGAGAUGUGGAGGAACACCAGUGGCGAAGGCGACUCUCUGGUCUGUAACUGACGCUGAGGAGCGAAAGCGUGGGGAGCGAACAGGAUUAGAUACCCCAGUAGUCCCUGUCUCUUAUAC